AAGUCCUCGAGACCAUUGAGCUAGAUGGUAUAAAAGACACGUUGGUUGGUAUGCCGGGUGUUAGUGGGCUUUCAACAGAACAACGUAAACGGCUGACAAUCGCUGUGGAGCUUGUUGCAAAUCCCUCAAUUAUCUUUAUGGAUGAACCCACAACAGGGUUGGACGCAAGGUCAGCUGCAAUUGUCAUGCGGGCUGUGAAAAAUGUUGCUGAUACAGGAAGAACAAUAGUUUGUACCAUCCACCAACCAAGCAUUGACAUAUUUGAAGCAUUUGAUGAGCUGAUUCUAUUGAAAAGUGGUGGGCGCAUGAUCUACUGGGGACCACUCGGACGAAAUUCUUGUAAAAUGAUCGAAUAUUUUGAGGGUAU
rnacentral:misc_RNA from 1 species